CCUCAGUUCCUCAGUGGGCGGAGGACUCAUCAACGACACAGCUCAGACUGGCCCGCACCCCACUCUGUGCCCCAUGCUCCCCUGCGGUUGAUGGUGACACCCACCCCUCCCUGUCGCUGGAGCCAUCCGGGCCAUCCCCACCCGUGGGUGCCCCUCUCGACCUCUUAGGACUUCCUGCGCUGUGGCUUCGGCUUGUCCGAGGGGCGCCCAGGAGAGCGCUCUGCGUGAGCCCCUAAGCCAGCCUGUGGGGCUGGAGAGGCCCUCUGGGAGACGUUCAAAAAAGGAAAAGAAGGAACCGUGAAACCUCGCAGAGUCAGGUGCCCAGCAUGCCACAGGCAUGAACAUUUAAGAUGCAGAGGGGCUUCCCUGGUGGUGCAGUGGUUAAGAAUCCUCCUGCCAAUGCAGGGCACACGGGUUUGAGCCCUGGUCCGGGAAGAUCCCACAUGCCGCGGAGCAACUAAGCCCGUGCGCCACAGCUACUGAGCCUGUGCUCUAAAGCCCGUGAGCCACAACUACCGAGCCCGCGAGCCACAACUACUGAAGCCCGUGCGCCUACAGCCUGUGCUCGGCAACAAGAGAAGCAACCACGAUGAGAAGCCCGCGCAUCGCAACGAAGAGUAGCCCCCGCUCGCUGCAACUAGAGAAAAGCCCGCACGCAGCAACAAAGACCCAAUGCAGCCAAAAAUAAAUAAAUAAAAUAAAUAAAUUUUUUUUAAAAAUAAGGAAAAGAAGGACUUCCCUGGUGGUCCAGUGGUUAAGAGUCUGCGCUUCCACUGCAGGGGGCGUGGGUUCGAUCUCUGGUUGGGGAAAUUCCGCAUGCUGCGAAGUGAGGCAAAAAAAAAAAAAAAAAGAUAAAGAA